rnacentral:rRNA from 1 species
CCUACGGGUGCAGCAGUGGGGAAUAUUGGACAAUGGGCGAAAGCCUGAUCCAGCCAUGCCGCGUGUGUGAAGAAGGCCUUCGGGUUGUAAAGCACUUUCAGUGGGGAAGAAAGCCUUGGGGCUAAUACCCUCGAGGAAGGACAUCACCCACAGAAGAAGCACCGGCUAACUCCGUGCCAGCAGCCGCGGUAAUACGGAGGGUGCGAGCGUUAAUCGGAAUUACUGGGCGUAAAGCGCGCGUAGGCGGUCUGAUAAGCCGGUUGUGAAAGCCCCGGGCUCAACCUGGGGACGGCAUCCGGAACUGUCAGGCUAGAGUGCAGGAGAGGAAGGUAGAAUUCCCGGUGUAGCGGUGAAAUGCGUAGAGAUCGGGAGGAAUACCAGUGGCGAAGGCGGCCUUCUGGACUGACACUGACGCUGAGGUGCGAAAGCGUGGGUAGCAAACAGGAUUAGAUACCCUAGUAGUC